GACGAACGCUGGCGGCGUGCUUAACACAUGCAAGUCGAACGGAAAGGCCCUGCUUUUUUUUUUUGCUCGAGUGGCGAUCGGGUGUGUUACACGUGAGUAUCCUGCCCUUGUCUUUGGUAUAACUUCAGGAAACUGGGGCUAAUACCGUAUAGGAGCUCCUGCUGCAUUGUGGGUGUUGGAAUGUUUCGGCGGUUGGGGAUUGACUCGCGGCUUAUCAGCUUGUUGGUGGGGUAGUGGCUUACCAAGGCUUUGACGGGUAGCCGGCCUGAGAGGGUGACCGGCCACAUUGGGACUGAGAUACGGCCCAGACUCCUACGGGAGGCAGCAGUGGGGAAUAUUGCACAAUGGGCGGAAGCCUGAUGCAGCAACGCCGCGUGCGGGAUGACGGCCUUCGGGUUGUAAACCGCUUUCGCCUGUGACGAAGCGUGAGUGACGGUAAUGGGUAAAGAAGCACCGGCUAACUACGUG
rnacentral:rRNA from 1 species